rnacentral:rRNA from 1 species
UAGUCCACGCCGUAAACGAUGGAUACUAGCUGUUGGGUUUUCGGACUCAGCGGCCAAGCGAAAGUGAUAAGUAUCCCACCUGGGGAGUACGUUCGCAAGAAUGAAACUCAAAGGAAUUGACGGGGGCCCGCACAAGCGGUGGAGCAUGUGGUUUAAUUCGAUGAUACGCGAGGAACCUUACCAGGGCUUAAAUGGGAGAUGACAGGAGCAGAGACGCUCUUUUCUUCGGACAUCUUUCAAGGUGCUGCAUGGUUGUCGUCAGCUCGUGCCGUGAGGUGUCAGGUUAAGUCCUAUAACGAGCGCAACCCCUACCGUUAGUUGCCAGCAUGUAAAGAUGGGGACUCUAACGGGACUGCCGGUGCAAACCGUGAGGAAGGUGGGGAUGACGUCAAAUCAUCACGGGCCCUUACGUCCU